UAGGAUUAAUCUUGAAUCUUUCUUCUCAUGAUAGAUCCUUCUUCUCUAAAUAGAAUCUUAACCUCUUUGAAUCUUGAUCAACUAUUAAUCUUGACUACAAUCACAACCCUUGAACUGCAGUCUUUUCUCUUUGUUCCUUGCUGUAGAAGAGACUCCUCUCAACUCAGGCAUGGAGGAUGAUGGAUGCCCAAUCCUUGGGUGUUAGAAAGAGAAGAGGGAGAGAAGAUGAGGCAUGGAGAUGAGAGAGGAAGAGUUUUGAAUUCUCAAAAUUCAAUAAUAGUAAAACCCUAAGAGAUCAUCUUCUUAAAUAGACCUUUCUUGAUUC
rnacentral:lncRNA from 1 species